GCGCCUCGCGCCAUCUCCUACACACAGUGGUCGCUUAGUAAAUAUGGGUGGUUUUUAUGAGAUGUGUAUCUGCAAAUCACCCCUCGCGAAGGAUUCUGGAGGAUUUGAAAAUAAAAAGAAUCGAAGUGCACGAAACGGUUGUGUUUCUAUUUACCUAGGCUUUAGAAAGGAAAACCUGACUUAGUCUUUAAAUAGAGCGAGUGCACGGUGCCUCGAGUUGCUCAGUAACCUCACACCGUUCUAUUUGUGUAAGUGUAUCGCACAGGAACGUGUGGUUCCGUCUAAUUCCUUUAGGAUGCGAAACAUUGCCCAGGGAUUCUGACUUUAUUCAGAGGGAAGAGCUUGACCUAUGCAAAGCGCUGUUAAAAAUUAACAUGAAAUUAAUUUUAAAACUGUUUGGAAAUAAUUCCAAGUUAGCAAAAACAAAAAUAGUACAAAGAACCUUGAUACAUAGAGUCACCUUUUAAAAAUAUUUUACUCCAUUUGCUUAAUCCUUAUUUGCACAUUCUCUCUCUCCUUCCCUCCACACAAAUGUAUAUUUUUUUCUUAAAUCAUUUAAUGGUGACCUUCUAGCCCUAAAUAUUAUAAUGUGUAUUUCUGGAGAAUAGGACUAUCCUCUUGCAUAACCACAGUAUAAUGAUCAACUACGUAAGUGUAUAUUUACUUUUAUUUGAUUUACUGUCCAUAUCUAAGUUUUUUUAGGUUGACUUAAUAUCCCUUAUAGCAAUAUUUCCCCCUUCAGUACCUGAGUAAGAUUAGGAUCAGGCAUUCCAUCCUCAGAAAGUCACACUUAAUAGGUGUGGUCUGAGGCCCAGGAGUCCAUUUAAAAUUUUUAUUUUUUAUUUUUCCAGAAGCUUCCUAGAUGAUGAUGAUGAUGAUGAUGAUGAUGAGAGGUUCCAGAACAUGAGAUGCACAGAGCCGACCGAGGUCUGGAGCCCCCGCAGGUGCAGCGCGAGGGGUAGUCAGAUGGGGUUGCUUCCUCCCGGCGGGUUCAACCUCGUGCACGGAGCAGGACCCGACCUCUCUCACUUGGUCUGCAAAACAAGAGGCCAGGACAUCUGCCGUCAAAGGGGCCAAGCAGAAGGCCCUAGUGGUUUCUGCCUUCCUAACGCUGCAGCCGGAGUGCUGGGAGCCCACGCAAGCCCUUCAACAGCAUGGGGUCUGUGUCUGCCUUUGCUUUGGAACCUUAAACAUUUUUGUUUGUCAAAUAUUGGAUACCUACUAAAACACAUUUGCAUACAUAUUUAA
rnacentral:lncRNA from 1 species